rnacentral:rRNA from 1 species
UCUGAUGCAGCCNUACCGCGUGUAUGAAGAAGGCCUUAGGGUUGUAAAGUACUUUCAGCGAGGAGGAAAGGUAAGUAGUUAAUAACUGCUUACUGUGACGUUACUCGCAGAAGAAGCACCGGCUAACUCCGUGCCAGCAGCCGCGGUAAU